rnacentral:rRNA from 1 species
UACGUAGGAUGCGAGCGUUAAUCGGAAUUACUGGGCGUAAAGCGUGCGCAGGCGGCGCGUUAAGACAGGUGUGAAAGCCCCGAGCUUAACUUGGGAAUUGCGCUUGUGACUGGCGAGCUGGAGUGUGGCAGAGGGAGGUGGAAUUCCACGUGUAGCAGUGAAAUGCGUAGAGAUGUGGAGGAACACCGAUAGCGAAGGCAGCCUCCUGGGCCAGCACUGACGCUCAUGCACGAAAGCGUGGGGAGCAAACAGG